AUUGAACGCUGGCGGCAUGCCUUACACAUGCAAGUCGAACGGCAGCACGGGAGCAAUCCUGGUGGCGAGUGGCGAACGGGUGAGUAAAGUAUCGGAACGUGCCCAGUCGUGGGGGAUAACGUAGCGAAAGUUACGCUAAUACCGCAUACGAUCUAUGGAUGAAAGCGGGGGAUCGCAAGACCUCGCGCGAUUGGAGCGGCCGAUAUCAGAUUAAGUAGUUGGUGGGGUAAAGGCCCACCAAGCCGACGAUCUGUAGCUGGUCUGAGAGGACGACCAGCCACACUGGGACUGAGACACGGCCCAGACGCCUACGGGAGGCAGCGGUGGGGAAUUUUGGACAAUGGGCGAAAGCCUGAUCCAGCCAUGCCGCGUGCAGGAUGAAGGCCUUCGGGUUGUAAACUGCUUUUGUACGGAACGAAAAGGACUGCCCUAAUACGGUGGUCCCAUGACGGUACCGUAAGAAUAAGCACCGGCUAACUACGUGCCAGCCGCCGCCGUAA
rnacentral:rRNA from 1 species